GACCGAUGUAGAAUGUUCAACAUU
rnacentral:miRNA from 1 species